rnacentral:lncRNA from 1 species
GAAUUGCUAGUGAAAAGAGAAAACAUCUCAUUGAAGUGUGUGUUAGUGAAGAACAGCUCAACUGAGCAUGAACUGGGUGAACUUGCACAACAAAAAUUGGGAGCACUGACAGUCUGAUUCCAUCCUCUUAAAAGCCUAGAUAAAGGUAUACGAAUUAUGGAACAAUAAUUUAAAAUUUAAAAUUAUCCUUUUUGUUUUCAGAAGCAUUAUGCCCAGUUAACUAGCCUAACAGUUAAACCACCUGUCACCAUCUACCUGUGCUGCAUCCUCUCUGCUCCAGCCCUUCUUCAAACCCAGAAGCUUCUGCUGGGAAAGAACCUGUUUCGUGUUGCUUAAAAUUGUGCUCAUGCUGGAGAAUGUAAAACAUACUUACAACCUGCAGAGCCUCUUGAAGAAGGUUCUGGUAACAGUUUCAGUUGCAACUUGAGGUUUAUGAAGGAAAAGGCACGGCAAUGACUCCUUUUCUGUGUCCCACCAAGUCAAAGUUCACAACCGACUGGCAAAACAAUCUGUGUGUUGGUUUGCACUCUGAAGGUAUUAAUAACUUGGGAGAUUCCUGUCAAGUCUCCAGAUCCAGAAGUCUCUAGCUUCUUAGAAACACUAACUGGAAGAAAAUCCAAGAGAUCCACAAAGGCUGUGGUUAAUCAGUAUCUGAACCUGGACCUCAGGGAUCUUCUUCUGCUCAGCCUGGGACCAGACCAAGAGGAUAUACGGCACAGUGCUUUUGACCAUCUUGACCAGAACCACAAAGAAUUGGAAAUUUCUCAGGAAUGGAUGUUCUCUACUGAUUUCCAAACCUUAGGUAUGUCCUUUUAGGUAAGUGUUAGGAAAAAUACGAUGCCUCUAACAGAAGUUUCCAAGCCACAAAAACUAUGUAGAACUGAGACAAUGCUUGACCUUGUGCCCACCUAAUUUGUGAAAUAGUAUUGUUGCCUACUUUUUUUAUUAUGCAGCUUUAAAGAAGAACAUGUCUCCUUUGCCCUCAUAUGUCUAAGGAACUUUAGUAUACGAGUUCUCUAGAAUAGAAUGAGAGGCAAAACAUCAAAAGUUUAACUAGUUUCUUGAAAUAUUUAGUAAUCAUACCAAGUAAGUGACAACGCUGGCCAGCUGCAGUAUUCAACAUCUAUUUGCCUUUUCCUAAUAUACUUGAGCAUUAUUGUUCUGAAGCAAGACAUUGAGUCUACAGUUAAUUUUAGGUGACUAUAAGUUGAUUCCUCAGACAUUUAUUGCGUGCCUGCUCUACCUCAGAUCCAUGCUAAGCAUCAGUGUGAAUGAAUUAUGAAUUACUCACAACCUCUGUUUCCAAAAGCUUGUAAUCUAGUGGAGGAAACAAAUUUCUAAGUAAAUUAACUCAGUAUUAUAUAAUACAGGCUAACUGAGAAGCACCAGGAGUUAUGGGAGAGAUACUUAGUUGACUUAGUCCCGAUAAGAAUGCUCCAGGAAGGAAGAGCUACCAUAGUUAUAAGUUACACUAAGAAUAAACUUUAUUCAGGACAUAUUAGCCUGAGCA